CUAAGCAUAUCAAUAAKCGGAGGAAAAGARAYCAACAGGGAUUGCCCUAGUAACGGCGAGUGAAGCGGCAAUAGCUCAAAUUUGAAAUCUGGCCUUCGGGUCCGAGUUGUAAUUUGUAGAGGAUGCUUUUGGUGCGGUGCCUUCCGAGUUCCCUGGAACGGGACGCCUUAGAGGGUGAGAGCCCCGUACGGUUGGACACUAAGCCUCUGUAAAGCUCCUUCGACGAGUCGAGUAGUUUGGGAAUGCUGCUCUAAAUGGGAGGUAAAUUUCUUCUAAAGCUAAAUAUUGGCCAGAGACCGAUAGCGCACAAGUAGAGUGAUCGAAAGAUGAAAAGCACUUUGAAAAGAGGGUUAAAUAGCACGUGAAAUUGUUGAAAGGGAAGCGUUUGCGACCAGACCUUUUCCUGGCGGAUCAUCCGGUGUUCUCACCGGUGCACUUCGCCAGGUUUAGGCCAGCAUCGGUUUCCGCAGAGGGAUAAAAGCUCUGGGAACGUAGCUCCUUCGGGAGUGUUAUAGCCCUCUGCAUAAUACCUUUGUGGGGACCGAGGACCGCGCUUCGGCAAGGAUGCUGGCGUAAUGGUCGUCAACGACCCGUCUUGAAACACGGACCAAGGAGUCGAACAUUUGUGCGAGUGUUUGGGUGUUAAACCCUCACGCGUAAUGAAAGUGAACGGAGGUGAGAGCCUUUACGGGUGCAUCAUCGACCGAUCCUGAUGUCUUCGGAUGGAUUUGAGUAAGAGCAUAACUGUUCGGACCCGAAAGAUGGUGAACUAUGCGUGGAUAGGGUGAAGCCAGAGGAAACUCUGGUGGAGGCUCGCAGCGGUUCUGACGUGCAAAUCGAUCGUCAAAUCUGCGCAUGGGGGCGAAAGACUUAUCGAACCMUYUWGUARCUGGUUACCGCCGA
rnacentral:rRNA from 1 species